rnacentral:tRNA from 1 species
GCGGUGGCUCAGAGGCAGAGCGCUCGCCCAGCACGCGUGAGGCCCUGGGUUCCAUCCUCAGCACCACA